UUUCCUACGGGAGGCAGUAGUGAGGAAUAUUGGUCAAUGGACGCAAGUCUGAACCAGCCAUGCCGCGUGCAGGAAGACGGCUCUAUGAGUUGUAAACUGCUUUUGUACGAGGGUAAACGCAGAUACGUGUAUCUGUCUGAAAGUAUCGUAUGAAUAAGCAUCGGCUAACUCCGUGCCAGCAGCCGCGGUAAUACGGAGGAUGCGAGCGUUAUCCGGUUUUAUUGGGUUUAAAGGGUGCGUAGGCGGUUUUUUAAUUUAGUGGUUAAACGUCGGGGCUUCACC
rnacentral:rRNA from 1 species